UACAGAGGGUGCAAGCGUUAAUCGGAGUUACUGGGCGUAAAGGGCGUGUAGGCGGAUAUUUAAGUUAAUUGUGAAAGCCCUGGGCUUAACCUGGGAAUGUCGGUUAAUACUGGAUAUCUAGAGUCUUGGAGAGGGAAGUGGAAUUUCCGGUGUAGCGGUGAAAUGCGUAGAUAUCGGAAAGAACACCAGAGGCGAAGGCG
rnacentral:rRNA from 1 species